rnacentral:tRNA from 1 species
CGGGGUGGCAGAGUGGCUUAAUGCGCCCGAUUGAAAACCGGGUAUGCUCUUCACGGGGUAUCGUGGGUUCGAAUCCCACCCCCGCCG